UACGGAGGGUGCGAGCGUUGUCCGGAAUCAUUGGGCGUAAAGGGCGCGUAGGCGGCUCUGCACGUUCGUUGUGAAAUCGCCCGGCUCAACUGGGCGGGGUCAGCGGAUACGGCAGAGCUUGAGCAAGCUAGGGGGCAAUGGAAUUCCCGGUGUAGUGGUGGAAUGCGUAGAUAUCGGGAGGAACACCAGUGGCGAAGGCGGUUGCCUGGGGCUUUGCUGACGCUGAUGCGCGAAAGCGUGGGGAGCGAGUCCGG
rnacentral:rRNA from 1 species